GCAAACUUGGUCAUUUAGAGGAAGUAAAAGUCGUAACAAGGUUUCCGUAGGUGAACCUGCGGAAGGAUCAUUAUUGAAUAAAAAUUGGUCUGGCUGUUGCUGAUCUUUAGGGAUACGUGCACGCUGGCUACCAAUAUUUUUAAACCACCUGUGCACCUUUGGUAGAUGCCAGACAGAUAAAUAAUCUCUCCCAGUGCUUCUACUGGAGGAGGAUUUGAGGAUAUUGCUUUGGCUGCUGUCUGAGCUUUCCUUGACAAAUCUGGCUCUGCAUUUUUCAUUUGCUAUACACACUGCAUGUCAACAGAAUGUUAUUUGAAUUGGCAUCAUUGCCUUUAUAAAUACAAUACAACUUUCAACAACGGAUCUCUUGGCUCUCGCAUCGAUGAAGAACGCAGC
rnacentral:misc_RNA from 1 species